rnacentral:tRNA from 2 species
UGGGGCGUCGCCAAGCGGUAAGGCACCGGGUUUUGAUCCCGUUACGCGAAGGUUCGAAUCCUUUCGUCCCAA